GGAGGAUCCGAGCGUUAUCCGGAUUUAUUGGGUUUAAAGGGAGCGCAGACGGGAGAUUAAGUCAGUUGUGAAAGUUUGCGGCUCAACCGUAAAAUUGCAGUUGAUACUGGAUAUCUUGAGUGCAGUUGAGGCAGGCGGAAUUCGUGGUGUAGCGGUGAAAUGCUUAGAUAUCACGAAGAACUCCGAUUGCGAAGGCAGCUCACUGGAGCGCAACUGACGCUGAAGCUCGAAAGUGCGGGUAUCGAACAGGAUUAGAUACCCUGGUAGUCCGCACGGUAAACGAUGGAUGCCCGCUGUUGGUCUGAACAGGUCAGCGGCCUAGCGAAAGCAUUAAGCAUCCCACCUGGGGAGU
rnacentral:rRNA from 1 species